CUGGCGGCUUUAGCGCGGUUGUCCCACCUGACCCCAUGCCGAACUCAGAAGUGAAACGCCGUAGCGCCGAUGGUAGUGUGGGGUCUCCCCAUGUGAGAGUAGGGAACUGCCAGGC
rnacentral:rRNA from 1 species